rnacentral:lncRNA from 1 species
UGACAUCUGUCCGAGUUCGCCAUGAACUCCUACUUCCUUCCUUUUGCAUUUCGAGAGAGCCAUAAAGGCUCGAGUUCCUUCCUUUUUGAAUCAGUUGGUCAGUGAAAUCGAAGAACAGGGACGGAGGAUUGAUUUACAUGUGCUCGAGAGUUAAAAAGGGGUUGUAUACGUGCUGUAUACAGCACGAUAUACAGGAAGCAAAGCUGAUAUACAUCAGUUUACAGUGUGAUACAGAAGUUGUAUACACUGUAUACAGUGACGAAAAUGGCCCAAAAGGC